rnacentral:lncRNA from 1 species
GAAUUUCGGGCUAAUCAUGUCACAUGUCAAACUGCAAACGUUCUGCCCAGGGUUUGUGGAGGGAUGGGAAAGGCAUACACACUGGGAAGCUGCACUGGGCAGCUUGCACUAACAGACUCAUUGGUCCAGUCAGGGUUCUCCAGCCGCCUGUGGAUUUUGGACUGUCACCUGCCAGAGAGGGUGCAACGGGAAAGGAAAUCAGG